CGAUGAAAUCCUCGAGUCCUUGGUCAAGACAGCAACUCAAGGACCAGCAAGAGGUCACCAACAUAGUUCAGGAGGUCCAAGAGAGAGAAAAAGGACUAGGCAUGCCGAUAGAAAAUCAUUGAAAAGAUCCCGUACCAGAGAAGGAUUUCCGAUUGGAACAGAAAUUGAACCAUAAAUUUAAUGAUUUUCGACAAGACUAUCACUUAAGCUUCAGUGCGCAGAACUCUGAAAAAUGGACUAUCGGAAGAAGAAAAGAAACACCUGGCUGCAUACAUCAAAGGAUACUGAUAAUAAAAAGUGAUACUACAAAAAAAUCUAGUUAAAAUUUUGACUACCAGAGACUGUAAUGAAUUAAAUUAAUUCUAUAACUAACAAUCAGUCUUUUAAUCGAUGGGAAAUUAUAUUUUAUUGGAGCCGAAAACAAUCUGAGAUUGCAUAAUUUUGCUAUGCAUCCUGAAGUCUUUUUAUAUAAUAUUUAUUAAAAUAAGAUUUAUUAUUCUUUAAUAUAUAUUAAAUAUAAAUACAACAAACACGUAU